ACCUAGCUGGCUCAGCGGUGGAGCGUGUGACUCUUGAUCUUGGGGUUGUGAGUUCGAGCCCCAUGAUGGGGG
rnacentral:tRNA from 1 species